UGGGGAAUAUUGGACAAUGGGCGCAAGCCUGAUCCAGCCAUGCCGCGUGAGUGAUGAAGGCCCUAGGGUUGUAAAGCUCUUUCACCGGUGAAGAUAAUGACGGUAACCGGAGAAGAAGCCCCGGCUAACUUCGUGCCAGCAGCCGCGGUAAUACGAAGGGGGCUAGCGUUGUUCGGAUUUACUGGGCGUAAAGCGCACGUAGGCGGACCUUUAAGUCAGGGGUGAAAUCCCGGGGCUCAACCCCGGAACUGCCUUUGAUACUGGAAGUCUUGAGUAUGGUAGAGGUGAGUGGAAUUCCGAGUGUAGAGGUGAAAUUCGUAGAUAUUCGGAGGAACACCAGUGGCGAAGGCGGCUCACUGGACCAUUACUGACGCUGAGGUGCGAAAGCGUGGGGAGCAAACAGG
rnacentral:rRNA from 2 species